AUAACACUGCAAUAUAUGUGGCUUACGUGUUUUCAGAGUUACUGUUUCCAACACUUGUUAGUUUCAUUUUAUUGACUAAUGCAACAUUGCUUGAGAAGGGACACAUACAUACAAUACUCAUCAGAAGUUCACUCACCAUGUUCUACGUGCUGAAGAUUUGUGUGGUUGUCCUUCUAGUUGAGGGAGGAUGUAGAGCAGCACAGAACCACACAACCUGCAAACCUGGACACUUCAUCAAAUACCCUGGAAUUCACUCCAAUGACAAUGUGUGUGAAAGCUGCCCUGAAAAUUCUUUCUCAAAUGGAUCUUCUACAUUCUGCACACCACACACAGACUGUGAGGCAAAAGGACUUUCCACAGUCAGACCAGGAGACAGUAUGUCUGACGCUGAGUGUGGAGAAUGCAGUCGGAUUCCUGUUAUU